CCUACGGGUGGCUGCAGUGGGGAAUAUUGCACAAUGGGCGCAAGCCUGAUGCAGCCAUGCCGCGUGUGUGAAGAAGGCCUUCGGGUUGUAAAGCACUUUCAGCGGGGAGGAAGGCGGUGAGGUUAAUAACCUCAUCGAUUGACGUUACCCGCAGAAGAAGCACCGGCUAACUCCGUGCCAGCAGCCGCGGUAAUACGGAGGGUGCAAGCGUUAAUCGGAAUUACUGGCGUAAAGCGCACGCAGGCGGUCUGUCAAGUCGGAUGUGAAAUCCCCGGGCUCAACCUGGGAACUGCAUUCGAAACUGGCAGGCUAGAGUCUUGUAGAGGGGGGUAGAAUUCCAGGUGUAGCAGUGAAAUGCGUAGAGAUCUGGAGGAAUACCGGUGGCGAAGGCGGCCCCCUGGACAAAGACUGACGCUCAGGUGCGAAAGCGUGGGGAGCAAACAGGAUUAGAUACCCCUGUAGUC
rnacentral:rRNA from 1 species